rnacentral:lncRNA from 1 species
AGAAAAUUCCCUAACUGCCUCCGGCACAUCCGCCCCCACUGCCAGCGGCGCGAAACCACACACCCACGCCUCGUAGUUGGCCUCCAUUGCCGAAAACACCUGCUCAAUUUCACCUUGCUCAAAUCCUCCAUGGUAAUCCUUGUCGUUCAAGAACCUUCGCAAAAUAUAAAAUAAAAUAAAAUUCAGUCAAAUAGAUUAUCAGAAAAUCAAAAUCCGUUCGACAACAUCUCAAUAAUUAUAUCUCUCAUUCCAGAUUAUUAGAUUAUAAAUGUCAAAAACUUAUUUUUUCAAAACUUAAACUUAUUUCUAUUCAUAAUAAUGUUGUACAAUGGCAUUAAAAUUACCCAGCAUAAAUUCAUAAUGUAAGAAUUUAAGUUUAACUAAUUACAUUAACAUUUCAAUGAUGACUUCUAGAAACAUUAUUAUAACCACCAUGUACCAUUAUCUGAUAAUGAUUAAAUUUUUUAAAUAAGUAAUUUUGAGAAAUGAAUUUGUUGAAAGAGGGAAACUAAUAAUCAAUUAAAGAAAAAAGAAUUUAUAACUUGCAGUUGCCAGCUGGAUACUAAAAUAUAAUUGAGAGAUUGAUUGAGGGUUACCGAGGGGAGGCGCCGAUGAGGAUGAGCUUGGAGAAGAGUUCGGGGCGGCGGAUGGAAGCAAGCAUUCCGAUCAUGGCGGAGAUGGAGUGACCGAC